CUUGUGUCUGUUUCUGUCUAACUUACAGACUAAGAUGUAUGGACAAGGAUAAAAAGGAAAUCCUCUUUUGUAACCCAGAAUUCAUUGCUCAACAUGAGUUGUGUACAGAUGAGAAGGAUGAUU
rnacentral:snoRNA from 1 species